AGGUGAAUGAGGUGGGGGAGGGAGUCAGAUGUGUGUCCGUCUAAGAACAGCCUUCCUGAAGGCAGGCAUGUGCAAAGGUCCUGAGGUGGCCAUCCCUGGCUCUUCCACCGGCACGGAGUCUUCCCUCCUCAGCAGUGAGGCCCGUUUCUCUCUGCCACUCUGCUCUGUGUUCACGCGGUGGUUCUGUUCUCUCAUACCUUGGUGUUUAUUUUGCCCCCUCAGGAGACACUGUCUGGGUCAUUUUUUCUUGGGAAACUUCCCAUUGUCCAUCCAAGGGGAUCUUGAUAACCGUUGACUUACCAGCCAGUUGGGAGGUUUUUGCUGCCCUGUGGACAGAUUCCUGCCCCAGGGCAGAACGUGGAAAGCACCCUCUCUUCUCUUUGCAGACGCCGGCUGGGCCCCCACGUCUGCCUCUCGGGGUUCGGGAGUGGCUGCUGCCCUGGCUGGGCGCCCUCCAUGGCCAGCGGGCACUGUACCCUGCCCCUCUGCUCCUUUGGCUGUGGGAGCGGCAUCUGCGUUGCUCCCAACGUCUGCUCGUGCCAGGAUGGAGAGCAAGGUGCCACCUGCCCAGCCCACGGUUCCUGUGGGGAGUACGGCUGUGA
rnacentral:lncRNA from 1 species